rnacentral:rRNA from 1 species
CGGUGGAGUAGUGUGGUUUAAUUCGAUGCAACGCGAAGAACCUUACCUGGUCUUGACAUCCCGGAGACCCUUAGGAAACUAGGGGUGCUUCCAUCUGGAAGAAUCUGGAGACAGGUGCUGCAUGGCUGUCGUCAGCUCGUGUCGUGAGAUGUUGGGUUAAGUCCCGCAACGAGCGCAACCCUUGCCUUUAGUUGCCAGCAGUUCGGCUGGGCACUCUAAAGGGACUGCCGGUGUUAAACCGGAGGAAGGUGGGGAUGACGUCAAGUCCUCAUGGCCUUUAUGACCAGGGCUACACACGUACUACAAUGGCCGAUACAAAGGGCAGCGACACUGCGAGGUGAAGCCAAUCCCGUAAAAUCGGUCUCAGUCCGGAUUGGAGUCUGCAACUCGACUCCAUGAAGUUGGAAUCGCUAGUAAUCGUGGAUCAGCAUGCCACGGUGAAUACGUUCCCGGGCCUU